ACCAAUAAGAUACGGCGUCAAGGGCUGCAGGUGAAGAGGUUUCACCACACCCACGCCCUUCGCCAUAGUACCAAAAAGGUACGGCGUAAAGGGCUGCGGGCGAACAGGUUUCGCCCACCCACACCCUUCACCAUAGUGCCAAUAAGGUACGGUGUCAAGGGCUGCGGGCAAACAGGUACGGCGUCAAGGGCUGCGGGCGAACAGGUUUCGCCCACCCACGCCCUUCGAUAUAGUGCCAAUAAGGUAUGGCGCCAAGGGCUGCAGGCGAACAGGUUUCACCCACCCACGCCCUUCGCCAUAGUGCCAAUAAGGUUCGGCGUCAAGGGCUGCGGGCGAACAGGUUUUGCCCACCCACGCCCAUCGCCAUAG
rnacentral:lncRNA from 1 species